rnacentral:rRNA from 1 species
UACGUAGGGGGCAAGCGUUGUCCGGAAUCAUUGGGCGUAAAGAGCGUGUAGGUGGCCCGGUCAGUCCGCCGUGAAAGUCCAGGGCUCAACCCUGGAAUGCCGGUGGAUACUGCCGGGCUGGAGUCCGGAAGAGGCGAGUGGAAUUCCUGGUGUAGCGGUGGAAUGCGCAGAUAUCAGGAGGAACACCGAUGGCGAAGGCAGCUCGCUGGGACGGUACUGACGCUGAGGUGCGAAAGCGUGGGGAGCGAACAGG